rnacentral:rRNA from 1 species
CCUACGGAGGCAGCAGUGGGGAAUCUUGCGCAAUGGGCGAAAGCCUGACGCAGCCAUGCCGCGUGAAUGAUGAAGGUCUUAGGAUUGUAAAAUUCUUUCAGUAGGGACGAUAAUGACGGUACCUACAGAAGAAGCCCCGGCUAACUUCGUGCCAGCAGCCGCGGUAAUACGAAGGGGGCUAGCGUUGCUCGGAAUUACUGGGCGUAAAGGGAGCGUAGGCGGGUUAUCAAGUUGGAGGUGAAAGCCCAGGGCUCAACCUUGGAAUUGCCUUCAAAACUGAUAGCCUAGAGUAUGAUAGAGGUAAGUGGAACUCCGAGUGUAGAGGUGAAAUUCGUAGAUAUUCGGAAGAACACCAGUGGCGAAGGCGACUUACUGGAUCAUGACUGACGCUGAGGCUCGAAAGCGUGGGGAGCAAACAGGAUUAGAUACCCUGGUAGUCCACGCUGUAAACGAUGAUUGCUAGUUGUCGGACGGCAUGCCGUUCGGUGACGCAGCUACGACAUUAAGUACAACUACCGCCGUCGGGGAGGUACGGUCGGCGAAGAAUUAAAACUUAACAAAGGAAAGUUAGACGGCGUGAGACGUGCCGAACGGACGACGACGAGGGGAGGUAGG